ACAGGAGUAAUAAUAAUAUUGAGUCUGUUCAUAUGACAGCCUUUGAGAGUUAAUUCUGGAGAAAUGGAUAGAGCAUGGGAUUGAGAGACAGAAAGGAAUGAAGAAACAAAGGAAGAGAGGGAAGAAUGAAAGGAGGAAGGAAAAGAAAGGAGAGGAGAGAAAAAGAGAGGACAGGGGAGGAGAAGAAAUGAGAAGAGAAAAAAGAAGAGGGAAAAGGAAAGAGGAAAGGAAAGGAAACAACCUGUGAGAUAAGUACGGCAAGGCACAAUAGGCACCAUAAUUGACAUCUUAGUUAUUGGGAAAAGGAGAUUAGAAGAAGUUAAGUAUCUUAUCUAUGAUGAUACAACUUUUUGAAGAUGGAUACCUCUGAGUGAAAAAGACAUUCUUGAAGUUAAGAUCAUUAUCUGUGAUUCCCUGGAAAUUUACCUAAGAAGGUUACUUGAAUUAUCAGGAUGAAAGAAACUAUUCAGGGAACAGGAAUAUCCCUGGGAAGAGGUUUGUGUCCUCGAAGAUGCCUAUUUAUUGACAAGUUGGGUUUUUUUCCUUGUGAUAUUCUCUUAUUUCACCUAUUUCCCCAUUUACCAUUUUCUCUUCCCCCGAGCCAAUUUCUCUGGCCUUCUAUCUCUGGUGUGUUGCUUUUGUAUGUAUUCAGCUUUUUAGAUGUACCUAUGUUUGUCCAUAUGUAUGUGAGUUCACUCUUCAUAGUUUGGGUUCAUUACCACUGGAGCCACAACAGGUGUCUUUUGGAGAAUGUUUGUUCUUUUUUUAAGAAAGAUUAUUUAAUAAUCCAAGGUACCAUCCUUUAUCUAUAAUGAUGCUACUGAUCCACGGUCAACAAAAUGCAUAUUUUCAUCCCCCAUACCACUUAAUCUGUGGAAAUUAUAUCCAAGAAGAUGCAUUAUCAUCUGCUUUACCACUGCUUCUUAAGGAUCACUUGAUUUUUCCAAAUGACUUACAUUUGAAGCCAUCAAUAUGUGUUGGCUUACCAUAGAUUAUAAACCACUGAAGGAUAGAAACUGUCUAGCUUUUCCAUCUAUAUGUUCAGUGACUAGGACAUGAUUAAGUAAGUGGUUUCCAUUCAUUUAUUCAUUUCUAAGGGUAAUGCUAGAUUUUCUCUGAACAAUUUUUAUUGUCUUACUUAUUCUAAUAAGUAAGACAAUAAAAAUUGUGAGUAACAAAAUAAUUGUAUAUCAUCUUCUAGUAUAUACAUAACUCUUGGGGCCCAUAGGAUAUACUUUUAUUUUUUCUGUAAUGCUUCUUGAUCCAUAAAGGGAUCAAGCUCCUUUCCCCAUCAGCACCACGAUUUUUCAAAUUGAUCUAACUAGACCAGGCAUAAGACUAUAAAAGGAAUAUUGAACCUACUAAGAUAGAUAGAAUAAUUCCUUAAAAAUAAGACAGGAAAAACAAAAUAAAACAAAAAAAAUAAUAAAGGAAAGAAGGAAUUAUCAAAGGAAAGGAAAAAACAGAGAAAGAAGGAAGGAAGGAAGGGAAUCAGGAAGGAAGGAUGGAAGGAAAGAAGGGAAUCAGGAAGGAAGAAAGGAAAGAAAGAAGGAAGGAAGGGAGAAAGGGAGGGAGAAAGGCAUCAGUAGGGGAGAAGGGUAAAUUUGAUUAUCACAAUGCUUUUUCCUGUUUAUUUUGAGGUAUUCAUACUUUAUGUCUUAAAAUAUCCAUAUCACCUUUCCUGAAUAAAAAUAAGAAACAUACGAAGGAGCAGUUUUUCCUUCCCUCAUCCUCUAAACCCAAAAUUAUUUGGAGGGGAAAAUCCGAUGAAAAACAUAGUGGUUGCUUUCAGAGUGAUGCCAUCAAGGCAGGGGAAGAAUUUGCUAACUUGAAACAAAAACCAGCUGAAAUACACUCAUGAAUGAAAAUAUGAUUGUAGAAUCUAGUAGAGGAUAAAAACUUUUAGUGAAAUCAAUUGCACUAUGACCAGCAGAACUAAAGGGCUUGCUAUUUUCCCUUUUUCAAAGCAACAGAAAGAGACAAAAAUACUUCCAAUUUCCAUUGAAUCAUUUGUAUAACACACUGUUCAGAAACUUGUCAACUCUAUUCAGUAGAACCUCUUGCCUACUGUGCCCAAGUCACACUCCAAAUCACACUAACU